rnacentral:lncRNA from 1 species
UCAGUGCUGUUCUCAUAAUAGUGAAUAAGUCUCACAAUUUCUGAUGGCUUUAUAAAGCGGAGUUCCCCAGCACAUGAGCUCUCUUGCCUGCCUACAUGUAAGACAUCACUUUGCUCCUCGUUGCCUUCCUCCAUGAUUGUGAGGCCUCCCCAGCCAUGUGGAACUGUGGCAGAAACCGUGAUUGUAUUUUUUUUUCUUUUUAUGUGCCCUGUUAAGCCUUGGAAAACAAAGAUAAAAUCUGAGCUUCCUGCAAGUUUUACCUACUCAGCCACUUACUUUCCAGGAUCCUUCAUCAUGAAAGCAAUUGUAUGGGGUAAGAGAUUGGAGUUAGUGCAGGAAACAAGAAAAGAUAAAACUAGAGCCUCACCAAGGGAACAGCCCCAGACCAGGUAUAUUGGGGGCAAGAGGAAGGCGUUAAAGAUGAAAUGGAGUUUAAAGACAAACAAGUUUUAGGUGCACAGUGACCAUGCAAUGCUCCAAAGCCAGGUAUACAAGAUGCAUGGCAGUGGUGGUUGGAGAAAAUUGCCAUGGGAUUGGCACAUGGAUUGGCACUGAGCACAGGGAUAUGAAACUUCAUGCUCAUGAUUGCAAUUCAGGAAGCCAAAGGGCAAAGGAAGUAUUGUAUGGGGUUUGUGAUCUAAGUAUUAAGAAACCAAAAUGCAAAUACUAAUAAACAUGGAACCAAAAAGACUUUAUGUAUGGAGCAGUGCAAAGCUGGUACAAGAGCUGUGAAUCCUCAAGAAUGCAACCUCUACUGUGAGUAUGCUGGAAGAAAUUAAUGAUGCUAAGGUGGAAAGUCCUCCAUUUUGAGACACUUACUAAUUUUCUGCUACCUUUCAUGGGAUUUUUUUUUAUCAUCUAUGCCAUGCUGUACCAGGAAGCAAAGAGAACUUUCAUCCACACUGUUGACAACUUUUGUGCAUGAAGUUGGCAACUUGCAGCACCUGGCAGCUCCUAGUGGCCCUGACACAUUGAGCCCCUGCUGGUCCUUGCUCACGUACUAUUUCAACAGUUUGUCUCUCCCAGCGACAACCUUCCUGGUGUUCCAAAAGCUCUCAUUUUUUAAUGUAAUUUUUCAAAACUCUUUAUUAUCAGCCUUACCAAAUAGUCAAUAUUUUCACAUCAA